rnacentral:rRNA from 1 species
UACGUAGGGGGCUAGCGUUGUCCGGAAUCACUGGGCGUAAAGGGCGCGUAGGUGGCUUGGCAAGCGUGUGGUGAAAGCCCGGGGCUCAACCCCGGGUCUGCCGUGCGAACUGCUAUGGCUUGAGCACUGUAGAGGCAGGUAGAAUUCCGGGUGUAGCGGUGGAAUGCGUAGAGAUCCGGAAGAAUACCGGUGGCGAAGGCGGCCUGCUGGGCAGUGGCUGACACUGAGGCGCGACAGCGUGGGGAGCAAACAGG